AUUGAACGCUGGCGGCAUGCCUUACACAUGCAAGUCGAACGGCAGCAUGAUCUAGCUUGCUAGAUUGAUGGCGAGUGGCGAACGGGUGAGUAAUACAUCGGAACGUGCCCUGUAGUGGGGGAUAACUAGUCGAAAGAUUAGCUAAUACCGCAUACGACCUGAGGGUGAAAGUGGGGGACCGCAAGGCCUCAUGCUAUAGGAGCGGCCGAUGUCUGAUUAGCUAGUUGGUGAGGUAAAGGCUUACCAAGGCGACGAUCAGUAGCUGGUCUGAGAGGACGAUCAGCCACACUGGGACUGAGACACGGCCCAGACUCCUACGGGAGGCAGCAGUGGGGAAUUUUGGACAAUGGGGGCAACCCUGAUCCAGCAAUGCCGCGUGUGUGAAGAAGGCCUUCGGGUUGUAAAGCACUUUUGUCCGGAAAGAAAUCGCACUUACUAAUAUUAGGUGUGGAUGACGGUACCGGAAGAAUAAGGACCGGCUAACUCCGUGCCAGCCGCCGCGGUAAGAC
rnacentral:rRNA from 1 species